rnacentral:rRNA from 1 species
GCCUAGCCCUAAACAGAAGUGGCCUAUUACCCGCCCCUCGCCCGGGGACUACAAGCCCUAGCUUAAAACCCAAAGGACUUGGCGGUGCUUUAGACCCCCCUAGAGGAGCCUGUUCUAGAAUCGAUAAUCCCCGUUCCACCUCACCCCCUCUUGUUUCCCCCGCCUAUAUACCGCCGUCGUCAGCUUACCCUGUGAAGGUUCAAUAGUAAGCAAAAUUGGCAGAGCCCAAAACGUCAGGUCAAGGUGUAGCGCACGAGGGGGCCUGUAAUGGGCUACAUUUACUGCACGCAGUAAACACGGAUCUUGCAUUGAAACAAGCAUUUGAAGGAGGAUUUAGCAGUAAGGAGAGAGUAUGAGUGCUUUCCUGAAAACGGCCCUGAAGCGCGCACACACCGCCCGUCACUCUCCCCAACGGACAACACUUAAUAUUUAAUGAUCCACACCCCACAAAGGGGAGGCAAGUCGUAACAAGGUAAGCGUACCGGAAGGUGUGCUUGGUCAAACC